GAGACAUAUUGGUGACACGACGGAGAGCCUAUCUACGUAACUGGUUUCAAGAACCAGCCUUCAUCAAACAUGAAAUUAUGACGAUGAGGGAUGUGAGAUGAGUGAGCAGCUGACAGAUAUCACUUGUGUGAUCUGAGUCACAUGCACCAACGAGACUGACCGAAUAUCAAACGAGAGUCACCCAGGCGACUCCAGACUAACUCUGACUGGAAGUGAACAAAAGUCUCCAGGCUCCAGAAGAUUGGACAACGAGACACCUGUCUACACACUUAUUACCCCAGAGACGUUCACUUGAUACGCUGCUCACUAAUAGUCGUGUGACAGACUGUACCUCCCCUUUCACUGAAUAGAACAAAAGUUUGAGUACCUGGCAAUAUCUCCCCUUCCACCGACGAGGACAAAAGAGGACUACCUGGCAAUAUCCUGUUUAUUGUCCCACUGAGGCUUGUUUAAUUAAAAAUAAACACCUCUUUAUGGUCCAAGGUCGCCAAUACAAUUGGUGUUCUAUUGUAAGUGAAUGAAAGCCCUUUGUGUGUACUUUACGUUGUUUACUGACUUUUGUGUCCCCCAUCACCCUCUUCCUAUUUCUAGACAGGAAGUGGCCUAUUGUGGACAGAAGCAGAUCAGUGAGAGUGGACAGCUUGUAUUGGUCGUGUAGAAGGACUGGACAGC